UAUCCUGGAUGGGAUCCUGGAAAGAAAAAGGACACCAGGUCUUUCAUCUCUGAAGAAGGCGGUGGGAAACAAAUGUUAUUUCUCCUCUUCAUACUCCUUUUCUCAUUUAUUCUGCAGAACAUUUCAAAGCAACACCCAGGAACCUUCAGAAUGGUAAAAAAACAUUGAUGCUUAGCUAUGAGGCAUGAGGCAGGAGGAGUAAUACAAAGUGGACCUUUGCCCCAGGAUGAUGACUGAGGUAUGACUAGAAGGUUCUUCAUCCUCUCAAAGAGCAAACUUUUGUGGCAGUAACACAACCAGGCAAGAUGAGAGAAGCAGAUCAAAGAAACUAAAAACAGAGUAA
rnacentral:lncRNA from 10 species